rnacentral:rRNA from 1 species
UACAGAGGUCCCAAGCGUUGUUCGGAUUCAUUGGCGUAAAGGGUGCGUAGGCGGCGCGGUAAGUCGGGUGUGAAAUCUCGGAGCUUAACUCCGAAACUGCAUUCGAUACUGCCGUGCUGGAGGACUGGAGAGGAGACUGGAAUUUACGGUGUAGCGGAUGAAAUGCGUAGAUAUCGUAAGGAAGACCAGUGGCGAAGGCGGGUCUCUGGACAGUUCCUGACGCUGAGGCACGAAGGCCAGGGGAGCAAACGGG